AACGCCGAUGGUAUUGAUAAAAUCCAUCGUUGCCAUCGAUGGGAACCCGGUUCCAUUCCGGGUCGGCGCA
rnacentral:tRNA from 1 species